rnacentral:rRNA from 1 species
GUCUACCACCAUGCCUGAACAAGCCCGAUCCCGUCUGAUCUCGGAAGCUAAGCAGAGUUGGGCCUGGUUAGUACUUGGAUGGGAAACCACCUAGGAAGACCAGGUGUUGUAGGCU